UACGGGGGGAGCAAGCGUUGUUCGGAUUUACUGGGCGUAAAGGGCGCGUAGGCGGCGCAACAAGUCACUUGUGAAAUCUCCGGGCUUAACCCGGGGCGGCCAAGUGAUACUGCCGUGACUCGAGUCCGGUAGGGGAGUGCGGAAUUCCCGGUGUAGCGGUGAAAUGCGCAGAUAUCGGGAGGAACACCAAUGGCGAAGGCAGCACUCUGGGCCGGUACUGACGCUGAGGAGCGAAAGCGUGGGUAGCAAACAGG
rnacentral:rRNA from 1 species